rnacentral:rRNA from 1 species
UGAAUACGAGAUGCUACGGCGUCGAAGCAGUCUAUGUCAUACUUCCAAGAAAAGCUCGCACUGUCAUAAACAAAUAAUGCCUGUACCAUAACCGACACAGGUGGGUAGGUAGAGUAUACUAAGGGGCGCGAGAUAACUCUCUCUAAGGAACUCGGCAAAAUGACUCCGUAACUUCGGGAGAAGGAGUGCCUUAUUUAUAAGGUUGCAAUAACAAGAUCCAAGCAACUGUUUAUCAAAAACACAGGUCUCCGCUAAGUCGUAAGACGAUGUAUAGGGGCUGACGCCUGCCCAGUGCCAGAAGGUUAAAGAAGUUGGUUAGCAUUCGCGAAGCUGAUAACUGAAGCCCUGGUGAACGGCGGCCGUAACGAUAACGGUCCUAAGGUAGCGAAAUUCCUUGUCGGGUAAGUUCCGACCCGCACGAAAGGCGUAAUGAUUUGGAUACUGUCUCGGAGAGGGGCUCGGUGAAAUAGACUUGUCUGUGAAGAUGCGGACUACCUGCACCAGGACAGAAAGACCCUAUGAAGCUUUACUGUAACUUGAGAUUGAAAUUGGACUUUACUUGCGCAGUAUAGGUGGGAGGCGUUGAUAAUAUUCUUGCGGGAUUAUUUGAGCCAUCAGUGAGAUACCACUCUUGUAAUGUUAGAUUUCUAACUUUGUAUCAUUAUCUGGUCAAAGGACAGUUUCAGGCGGGCAGUUUGACUGGGGCGGUCGCCUCCUAAACGGUAACGGAGGCGCACAAAGGUUUCCUCUGAACGGGUAGAAAUCGUAUCUAGAGUGUAAAGGCAUAAGGAAGCUUGACUGUGAGACCUACAAGUCGAGCAGGGACGAAAGUCGGUCUUAGUGAUCUGACGGUGCUGAGUGGAAAGGCCGUCACUCAACGGAUAAAAGUUACUCUAGGAUAACAGGCUGAUCUCCCCCAAGAGUUCACAUCGACGGGGAGGUUUGGCACCUCGAUGUCGGCUCAUCGCAUCCUGGGGCGGUAGUACGUCCCAAGGGUUGGGCUGUUCGCCCAUGAAAGCGGUACGCGAGCUGGGUUCAGAACGUCGUGAGACAGUUCGGUCCAUAUCCGGUGUAGGCGUUAGAAUAUUGAGAGGAGCCUUCUUUAGUACGAGAGGACCGAGAAGGACAUACCUCUGGUGUACCAGUUAUCGUGCCAACGGUAAACGCUGGGUAGCUAUGUAUGGAGUGGAUAACCGCUGAAAGCAUCUAAGUGGGAAGCCCACCUCAAGAUAAG